CCCCUCUCAGGGUCGCACCUGGAGAGUUUCCAGUACUCUAUCAGUCUAGACUAUGGGAGGGAGAGUCAAGCGGAGGCCUAACCAUUCCAUUCCCAGCUUGGCCAGUGGCCAGUGAGUGGAAGGCAAUCUGCUAUAAGU
rnacentral:snoRNA from 2 species